CUGUUUCUGUUUAAUUUCUUCUGAUAGAGCUAAAAAAAAAAAAGAAACAACAACAACAAAAAGCACUCUCCUUAUUCUAAAAACUGAAGUUGGUAUAUAGCUUUACAAAGAAAAAGAAGGGGUGGGAGUGAAAAGUAUAGGUCACGACAGCCCCCUGCAACCACCACGCUCCCUCGCAUGCACGAGGCCUAACCAACGUUCGUCAAGUCAGUGAGCACGUUGGCAUUUGGAGUUUAGGAUGAAACAGAGCUUUAGUCUUAAGCGGGAUGACAAUGUUUGGCAUAUUAGGAAGUUCUAUCAUUUUUCUUUCUCUUUUUGCUGAUCAAUAUUUUUUCUCCACUAGAUAAUUCCAUGGGGACAGGAGGAUUAUGGGCAUGCGUUUGGGAGCGUAGAAGAUGGGGGUUCGAAUCCCUCCUCCCCCUUGGCAGCUGAGUGAGUUUGGAUAUGAGUCAUUCUUCCUUGCAGAAGAAAUAUGAAUUCCCACAGCGAGUCCACGUGCUCACUUAUGGCCUGUCUGUAAAGGACGCACCCAGCCCGACGCCCGCAGCGAAGCACCUCUCGGUAAGUAGCAGUUACGACCGCGAACGAUGACUACGAAUGAGAGGCUGAAUGGUCACUGGGCCUGUUUUUCUAAAAAGAGACAAGGUCUCAUUCUGUUGCCCAAGCUGGAGUGCAGUGGUGUGAUCACAGCUCACUGCAGCCUCGACCUCCUGGACUCAAGAGAUCCUUCCACCUCAGCCUCCUGAGUAGCUGGGACUGCAGGUGUGUGCCCCCAUGCACAGCUAAAUUUAAAAUUUUUUUUGUAGAUAUGGGGUCUUGCUCUGUUGCCCAGACUGAUCUCUUACUCCUGGGCUCAAGAGACCCUCCUACCUCAGCCUCCCAAAGUGCUGGAAUUAUAGGCAUGAGCCACCAUGCCUGGCCUCUUCAUAAGUUUUGAGCAAAGCCUGCAUUUUUGUUUUGGACUGGGCCCCACAAACUAUGUAACUGGUUCUGAUGGGAUGGAUGGUUGGGGAAGCUGAUCUUUCUUGGAGGGGAUUGAGGAAAACUCUCAGAGACCAUCAGGGAAAGGGGGCUGGAGUUGCAGGCAGGGGGUAGCUAGAACCUGCCCAUGAGCCACUGAGGAUAGGCAUAUGGGUUUGUUUGUGUAAAAGGCUUCAUUAAAAAUGGGAAAAUAGGCCAGGUACUGUGGCUCAUGCCUGUAAUUCCAGAGCUUUGGGUGGCUGAGGUGGGAGGAUUGCUUGAGCCCAGGGAGUUCAAGACCAGCCUGGACAAUAUAGUGAGACCCUGUCUCCACACAAAAAUAAUUUAAAAAUUAGCUGGGUGUGGUGGUGCACACCCGUAAUCCCAGCUACUCGGAAGGCUGAGGUGGGAGGCUCCCUUGAGCUUGGGAGUCAAGGCUGCAGUGAGACAUGACCAUGCCACUGUACUCCAGCCUGGGUGACAGAGUAAGACAAAAAAGAAAGAAAGAAAGGAAGGAAGGAGGGAGGGAGGGAGGGAAGUAAAGGAGGAAGGGAGGGAGGGAAGGAGGGAAGGAAGGAAGGAAGGAAUGAAGGAAGGAAGGAAGGAAGAAAACUGUUGCCCAGGCUGGUCUUGAACUCCUGGCCUUAAGUGAAAAAAAUAAAAAUGAAAAUCAAAAUGGGAAACACGCUCUGGGCUGAAAAAGAAUUUCAUUUGAUCCCCAAAGAGUUUCCUUUAUGAUUCAUUGUGUAGACUUUUUGCAGUUCCGUUGGGGUAGGGGAAAAAGAAACCACAAAAACUGUAAGUUCACAAGAAAAGCAUUAUUAGGGCGUCUGGCCUUUGUUCGGACCGCUAAGCCUCAUCCUCCUCCGGAUGGGGAGAGAAGACACACCUUGGCCCGCGUGGGAUUUUGUUCAUUCAUCAAACAAGUAUUUGGCUGAGCCCUGCUCUGUGCCAGGCAUCUUUCUAAGGAAGUGGGCAGUGAGCCCUGCAGACAGGAAUCCUUGCCCCCGGCAGCCUGGAUUCUAGAGGGGAAGAAAGACCGGGAAAAGAAAGAAAGUAAACUAAGUAGAAUCUCUAGUACGAAGCACAGUGACACUUGGUAGAAGAGUUAAGCAGGGGCAGGAUGUCUGAGGGACAGAGGGCUGCAGUGUGAGACAAGCAGCUGGGAAAUGGCCUGGUUUAGUCACAGAUCUUGGUAGAAGCCCUGUAUCGAUAGCAGAUUCCCUAUCUCCUUUGCCCACAAUGUCUAGAGUGCAGCCAGAUUAAGGGUGAGCCCCACAGCCCUACUUUGGGGCCUGGCUUGAGCCGUGACCCUCUGCAACUCUUUUGCAGACCCUGAGGUCCCUGGCGGGAUUGUGCAGGAAGACAAAUGAGGCUGCCACUGAAAUGCAUGCCCCGCGCUCCCAGGAGCUCCCAAGCCUGACGGUGGCAGAGCGGAGCCCCUACAGCGUCCUAGUUUUAGCUCUCUCUGUGGAAUUCCCCAUCCGCAGCAUCCCAGGCUGGCCACUGUCCUGUGACCACAAUCACAUGACCCCAGAGGGGCUGAGGAAUGGUGCUUGGACCACCUCAUCUUCUCUUCACUUCCAGAUCCAGGUUCAACAGCAUAGGUUUUUCAGCAGACAAUCACAACCAUGAAAACGCCCAAAAUGGCUCCAUGAAUGGAACGAUAAAAAGACCAAAGAGAUGGACACUAGCACAAAAACUUACGAGCCAAAAGGGACAGUGGCCUGCCGAGCCCUGGGCACAAUUAUUGAGAAUUGCUAUUGGUCCACGUGUCUCCAUCCCCCCGGCCUCCACCCUAGACCUGGCCACCUCUUCUCUCCCCUGGAUUCCCUGAAGCACCCUCAGUCUGGCCUUCCCACUCCUGUUGCCCACUCUCCAUGCCAUAGCCAAAGCGAUCUUUUAUAAAGGCAAGAUUGUGCCACUGCAUUCCAACCUGAGCGACAGCAAGACCCAGCCUCUAAAAAAAAAAAAAAGAAAAAAAAAAAACAAAAACAAAAAUAAAAAAGGACAAACAAGUACUGAGGAUGCAGAGCAUCCGGAACUCCCUUGCAGGGCUGUGGGAGCAUCAGCUGGAACCGCUGCUUUGGAAAACGGCGAGGUAUCAUUUCUUAGAGCCGAAACUGUAUGAACCCACAACCCAGCAAUCCUGCUCCCAGCAUACUCUCAACAGGAGUGUUCCCAGACGUUCCCCAAGAGACCUUCACAAGACCACCAGAUAGAGCAGCACUGCUCCCAGUCACCCCAAACACCCACAGACCAGCAGCAGCAGCCUGGGCAGGCCACGUGUGGUGGACUCCCAAGUGCAAGAGGACUCGGCAGUGACGGUGAGUGAACUAGAACUGCACAGAGCAGCACGGAGGAAUCUCGGGAGCAGAGGGCUUGCGGGAAAGGAGUCGGGCACACAAGGAUAAGCUCUGCAACGGCAUUGAUGUUGACAUCAAAACCAGGCAAAACUGCUCUAUGGUGUUGGAGGCAAAGGAGCGGCUCAGGGGCGGGGAGUGGGGUGCCCUGAAGAGCUCCUGCACGUUGUCCUUGGUGGGGGGGUGGGGGGGUUGCAAUCUUUUCCUUUAUCUUAGUGCUAGUCACAUGAGUGAGUUCACAUUGUGAAAAUACGCUGAGCUCCUAAGGAGUGAAUUGUGCUUCCCCCCCAGUUGAUAUGUUAAAACUCUCACCCGCAAUGGAACUGUAUUUGGAGAAAGGGCCUUUAAGGGGGAAACUGAGGUUAAACUACGGCCCCAUGGGACCCUGAUCAGAUAGGACUGUGUUCUUAUAAGAAGAGGAAGAGACACCAGAGAUCUCUCUCUCUCUCUCUCUGUCCGUGCACAGAGAAGAGGCCAAGUGAAGACCCAAGGAGGAGGUGGCCAUCUAGAAGCCAGGGAGACAGGCCUCAGCAGGAACCAGGCUUGGCAGCGCCCUGACCUCAGACUUCCAGCCUUUAGAGCUGUAAGACAACACAUUCAUGCUGUUGAAGCCUAGUCAGUGACACUUUUUCUUUUCUUUUCUUUUCUUUUUUUUAGAUGGAGGCUCACUCUGUCACCCAGGCUGGAGUGCAGUGGCGCGAUCUCGGUUCAUGGCAACCUCCGCUUCCCGAGUUUGGACGAUUCUCCUGCCUCAGCCUCCUGAGUAGCUGGGACUUGAGGCAUGCGUCACCACACCUGGCUAAUUUUUUGUUUUGUUUUGUUUUGUUUUGUUUUGUUUUAGUGGAGACGGGGUUUCACCAUGUUGGCCAGGCUGGUCUCAAACUCCUGGCCUCAGGUGAUCCCCCUGCCUCUGCCUUGGCCUCCCAAAGUGCUGGGAUUACAAGUGUAAGUCACCACGCCCAGCUGACACUUUGUUAUGGCAGCCCUCGAUGACCAAUAAUGUAUGCCUGGGACAUGUGUGCUUUUCUCUAUGUAUGAUAGAUUCAAUCAAAACCUCCUUUUUUAAAAAAAAGGCAAGCCUGGUGUGGCCCUGCUGUUUGCAAUCUUCCCCUAGCUUCUUGUCUUCUCUUAAGAUCAAGUCCAAAUUUGCAACGUGAUCUUGAAGGCCAGUAUGAUCUGGCCCCUGUUGGCCUCUCUAGCCUUGGCCACUGCUGUGGCUACACUGACCUCAUUUCAGUUGCUUGAACAUGCCAGGCACUUCCUGCCUCAGGACUUUUGCACUGCUGGCCUCUCUGCCUAACACACUUUCUCCAUGUUUUUGCCCGGCAAGUUUCUACUCAUCCUUCAGGUCCCGGAUUAAAUGUGGUUUUUUGUUAGGGAGGUUUUCCUGAUCCCACAUUGGGUCAGAUCCCUCUGGUGUAAAUUCUCAAAGCACCUGCCCUUUUCCUUCAUUGCGCCCCUCUCAGUUGGAAAUAAAUGAAAUAUUGUUGCCUAUUGUCUGCCUUCCCCACUACACAGUGAACUUUCUGAGGGCAUGGUUGGUCUUGUUGUCCAGUGGGACCGCCCUGCUCACUGUGAAUGAAAGGAUGGAUGGAUGAAAAAGCAAAUGAAUGGAUGGACGUGUGGAUGAAUAGAUGAAAUAAUAAUAGAUGUAUGGAUGGAUGAAUAGAUGGGCAAAUGGAUGGAUGAAUGUGUGGACGAAUAGAUAGAUGAAAGAAUGGAUGGAUGGAUGGAUGGAAUAAUGGAUGGAUGGAUGGAUGGAUGAAGGAAAGGACGGAUAGAUGGAAUAAUGGAUGGAUAGAUAGAUGGAACAAUGGAUGGAUGGAUGACUAGACAAAGGGGAUGGAUGAAUGUGUGAAUGAAUAGAUUGCCAGAUGAAUGAAUGGAUAGAUAGAUACAACAAUGGAUGGAUAGAUAGAUGGAACAAUGGAUGGAUGGAUGGAUGAAAGAAUGGAUGAGUGAAUAGAUGUACAAAUGGAUAGAUGAAUUUGUGGACAAAUAGAUAGAUGAAUGAAUGGAUAGAUGGAUGGAGUAAUGGGUGGAUGGAUGGAUGAAUGGAUGAAGGAAAGGAUGGAUAGAUGGAAUAAUGGAUGGAUGGAUGGAUGAAGGAAAGGAUGGAUAGAUGGAAUAACGGAUGGAUAGAUAGAUGGAACAAUGGAUGGAUGGAUGGGUGAAAGGAUGGAUGGAUGAAUAGAUGGACAAAUGGAUGGAUGAAUGUGUGAAUGAAUAGAUAGAUUGCUGGAUGGAUGAAUGGAUAGAUAGAUACAACAAUGGAUGGAUAGAUAGAUGGAACAAUGGAUGGAUGGAUGGAUGAAAGAAUGGAUGAGUGAAUAGAUGGACAAAUGGAUAUGUGGAUGUCUGCAUGAAUAGACAGAUUGAUAGAUGAAUGAAUGGUUAGAUCCAACAAUGGAUGGAUAGAUAGAUGGAACAAUGGAUGGAUGGAUGGAUGGAUGGAAAGAUGGAUGGAUGGAUGGAUAGAUGGGUGGAUGAAUAGAUGGAAAAAUGGAUGAAUGGCUGGUUGGUUGGAUGAAUGGAUGGAGGAAUGAACUUAUGGAAAAAUGGCUGGAUUGGUGGCUAUCAAUUCUCAGUAAAUAGAUCUUCCACAAGUAACAAUUCUUAUUUACAACGACUUUGCUAUUACAGCCAUCUAUUGAUCCUUUGAGGUGCGUGGAUGCUGCAAGAAUGAGUCAACACUCAGCACUCUGCAGAUUUUCAGGGGAUGAUCUAAGAAUACACUUCCAAGCUUUCAUCGAUGAGGCAAAUAGUGGACCUCUUCAAAUAUUUAUGUUCUUAAACUGCUAAUGUUUGGAAACACCUAGAAAAUACUCCUAACUGAGAUGCUUCAUCUUAGAAUCCCUACAUGAGGCCUUCCAGCUAUAUAGAAGUUGUAGAGGUGGGGGGUUGUGGGAGAGUGGAAUUUAUUGAAAAUGGAUGAAGGAUAUGUCCCCAGUACCAGAGUGGGUGAUGUGAAAAGAUUCUGGUCUGAGUACCUGGGUGUGUGGGAAGCUGGCACAUACUGGCAGCAUGGCUGCUGUGGGUACCAGAAGCCCAAAGGGUGCUCCUGUGUGAGCUGCAAGGUCAGACAGGCAGAGAUGGGGUAGGUCCUAAACUCACCUGGCUGACAGGCACUAAAUGUCCUGACACCCACUUAACUGCUGAAGGACACUUCCCAUCCUUCCCUCCCCUGCUCACUCCAGCCAAACUCCAUGUCUCUGAGUUCCUCCACCCUGCUCUCCACUCCCCGACCCCAGGCCAUUGCACACGCUGUUCCCUCUGCCUCGACACCCUUCCUGCACCUUUCUGCCUAACUCCUACUCAUUCUGCAUGUUGUGAGAGUAAAGGUCACUCCCUCCAGGAGGCCCUCCUGUACUCUUCUACAUAUCAUGUCAGACUCUCCCCCAACCAAAUCAUGGCACUGGGCACAUCCCUUGUAUAUUCUAUCUGCAUUCACAGAGCAGUGUAGACAUCUGUUCAGGCACUGGGUGUGCAGUAGUGAGCGAGACAGGCAGUCCCUGCCCCAGGGAGCACACAUGGUUGUGGAGGAAACAGUAGCCACUAUAAAUAUGUGGUAAGUCUUAUGGACAACAGAGAAGGGGAGGAGAAUCCUCAGAAGAUGUGGGAGGUUGAGGAAGGCAUCUCUGAGGCUGUGCCAAGUGAGAUGGGCUGUGCCCCUCUCCAGAGGAGCACAUCCCAGGCAGGAGGAAUAGCAGGGACCAGGACCCCUGGUGGGAGCGGGGGCUUUGAGUGUUUGAGGGACAGUGAUGAGGCUACUGAUUCCAUUGCUGUUUGAGUCACUGUCUGUCCAUCUCUCCCAUGAUGCCCCAGGCCUCUCUGCAGCCCCUGUCUUUGUGCAGCUUCCUGUAUACCACUGAGCCCCUCAUCUGCCUAGGAUGCAAGCCCUCAGGCCUUGCUAUGGUUAGUCCCUCAAGCCUCAUGUUUAAAUGUGAUCCCCAGUGUUGCAGGUGGGGUCUAAUGGGAGGUGUCCCGGUCACAGGAGUGGAUUCCUCAUGAAUAUAUCUGUGCCCUCCCUAGGGGUGAGGGAGCUUUCACUCUAGUCAUUUCCACAAGAGCCACUGGUUGUUAAAAAGAGCCAGUACUGGGUAUCUACC
rnacentral:lncRNA from 10 species